AGUGAGGUCGGCGCCCGCCAGUAACAAACAUGGCUCCCUGAAGCCGCUCAGGCUCAAGAGCAACAUGGAGGUCUGCACUUAAUCGCUCCUCUCCGGGGGCGGCCAUACCGAGGAGGCGUCUCUUCCGUGCAGGCAGGCUCUCCUGGGGACCUCAGAGAUUCUCUCCAGCGGCAGCGGAAAACGGACAAUGGGUGGAUUCGGGUCCAGAUUCUGGUAGGAGGGAGUUUGGGAUCGAGAUCUGGAAAAAAGCACUAGACUGGAAGAGGACGCGAUGGAGUCGGAGCCGCUGGCGGGGACAAAAACCAGAGGCCGGGGAAGGCGCCGGUGGGAGGCAAGGCACGGAUGGACUUUACCUGCGCACGCGUCGCAGCCAUCUCCGCGCACAGUGGUGGCCACCGCGACUGGUGCUGAAGUGUUGGCGCGUGCCGGGCGCUCCGCUGGGACCCGGGUUGCUGGCCCUGAGUCUCAGCUUUCUCAUCUGUACGGUUGGGACAAGUACAGUAACCCUCGCCCGUCAAGACGGGCCAGGGCUGUGGCGAGGGUCCACGCCUUAGAGCAGGCAGGAGUAGGGCUGAUUGGAGCCAUUGUACAGUGUCGGGAACAUACCAGGACACUGAGAAUAGUGUCAUGUCAUAAGGACCCAGAGCAGAUGGACCCUGCUGUGAUGCACAAAGAAAUCAAUGGAGCCUAUUCUUCCAAAUAAUCCUUAAAUAUUACUUAUCUCAACUGAGAUUUUGGUGAAAAUUUAGCUUUAGAGCUUUUAUUGACCUGCCAAUGACCUGAAGUUAAGAUUAUUCUUUUCUACUGAAUGAAGACAAACUACCUUAUAAAAAUUAACCCAGAAGGCUGUAGAGGGAUGAAAUGGGAUUUUGUUGGCACCAAGACCUGAUUGCUUUGCCAGUUACCCUCACCCCUGGCUCACAAGGAAAGUGUAUGGAGGAGAUUCUCGAGGAACCACAUGAGUUUUAAUAUCAUAAGCUUCUGCCCUGAAUUGAAAGAUAGCAGCAUUUUAAUCAUCUCUUCCAUUAAACCAAGAUUACACAAAAGCGUUUGAGGACACUGAGGACUGGGACUUCUAAUUUUGCUUCAGAAACCAGUACUCAAAAUGUCUGGUUUGGAGGAGCUGGGCUGCUUGGAUCAGAGGUUCCAUGGUCUGAACUACUCCACUCUGGUGAAGGUUUCUUCCCCAAAGCCACUCCUCAAGCUGACUUAUAUUGUACCUGAGUUGCAUGCCUGUGCUCCAAGAGCAGACGUCCUUCCGCAGGAGCAGGUCAUUAAGAGUCACUGCGUUGAUCAUGUAGAAGAGCUGUUUGAAUACCUGCAGGAUGAUCUCAGGGUCCAAGCCCUGGUCACACAUGACUGUAUGAAAGGCAUUCAUCUGGCGGAUGAUAGCUUCCAGGCGGUAUGAGUUAUCCCCAUCUGCCAUGCUGGAGGAGUGCUUCUGGGAG